UUGCCCGUGAAAGGCAAGACUGAAGCAGCCCUUACGAGGCUGAGGUCGCCGGUUCAACUCCGGCCCGGCCCA
rnacentral:tRNA from 1 species